UUCUUCCCCUUCCCCUUCUGUAUCUCUUCCUCCCACGCGCCCCUCAGCCUCUUUUCUGGGCCUGGCUCUUCUAGGAAGUCUGUCUCAGGACAGUUCCCCGGGCAGACCCUGGGUGGAACCGCCCCUCCCAGUGUCCACUGAUGGCCACUGCCUGCGAGGUCCCUUCCUCCAGCAAGGUGCUGGCAACAGUGCCAUAAACAGGUUGUCACUCAUCUGCAGGCGGCCUCCUCUUUCCCUCAGCAGAUUAAGGCCUUCAUAAAAAAAGAUGGAGGGCCCUUGACUUGCGACAGGCACAUUCUGCCUUCUUGGGAAGGUGAAAGGGCAGCUUCUAGCCGGGCUCUGUGGGUAGUGCGCGGUGGGGCUGGGUCGGCAGGACAGAAGCCUGCUCCUUGUGUGGGGCCCGCUACCAAAACAGCCUGUGCAGCUGCAGAAUGACCGAGAGCCAUGUCCCAAUGUGGUGUCAUUUCCACGGACACAUGGAACUUAAAGAAUUAUAGGUACCUUGAGCUACUGGCAGGUAAAAGACAGUAAAAAAAAAAAAAUAGUGAAAGACACAAUCUACCCUCUGAACUGAUCUACAAGGCUGUGAAAGCAUCCCUUUGAAUAAUAUGCAGUAGAUAUGUUAGAAAAAUCUAAUAUUGGUGUGUGGACCCCUCAGCCUCUUUGACGAGUGUUGUAAUAUAUCUUGUUGAAUGAUGAAUAUGCUACAGUAUGUUUCAACUGUUCCUGUCUUGUGGCUGAAAGAAAAAUAUAUUGAAAAUGAAUGUAAAAUAUUGAAAUUUAGUAGUCGUUAUGCUUCACUAUAAUUUCUUGUUGCUCUGGGUGUGGCAGACACCUCCCUAAUUACACAGUGUGCACACACGCACCUGUAACAGGAGCCGUGUGAGAGUCUGAUGGGAACAGCCUGUGUUCACUUGCCACAGCCCGACAGCAUCUGAAGGUGGUGUAUGGAGAGGACCCCAGCACCCAGUCGCUCCGUGGAUUAACGGCCCUGCUGUGAGAUCCUGAACUGUUGAUGAUCAGGUGUUAUUUGAAGCAGUUCAUUUUGUGCUGUAGAGCAUUGAAAUGCCACCACCCGGAAGACCCCUCAGUCCCCCUGGGACCUCUUGCUUUUCCAGGGGGGUUUGGACCCCAGCGUCUUGAGGUUAGAGUGAUCCCUGCCAGGGAGCGGAAGACACAGUGAUCCGGGCCCCAGGCAGGCCGGAGCCACAGGCCUGAGCUCUGUCCUGGUUCAGAUUCAUAGGCCACUUUGUAAACCAACUCUGUUCCUUCCUCAGCUCUGGUCAGUCACACAUGGCCUGGCCACCUGCUGGUGGGACCAGCUCUCCAGGGCUGGGGAGUUGCCAGAGCAGCGUUCCUGGAUUCCCUAGGCUCUGCUUUCCUCUGCCUGGUCUCAGCGGGAAUGGAGAGCUGGGUCCCCAGCCUGCUUCUCAGCUGUCUGGGUGCCAGGGGCUCGGGGGACACAGAACUCCUGCCAGCCGAGCGCAAGCCUUGGGCAGAGGCAAAGUAGAGCUCCGACCGUUUCACCCCACCACACUGCCGCAGGGGUGCUUGCUCGGAGCUGGUGCUCUGGCCCUGGGAUUGCAAACCGAGCUGCCUCCUCUGAUUUGGCCAUAGUGGGCUGGGUGGAUAUACCCUGGCUUUGCCUGGACCCUCUGUCUCUUCCAGGCCUCAGCGUCCCAAGGACGACACCUGCCCAGAGCUCACUGUUCUCUCCGACUUCCUUGCCCAGCUUCUCGUUCUCUGUCUCUGCGGAGGGCCCACGGUCAUCCUGCAGAGGUGUUGCCCUGAAGGCCGCGGCAUCCCUCCCGUUCCUGCACAUACCCCUUUGCCCGUGGGAUUUUCGUGCUCUCGUGUGUCACUGUUGGUCUUUGGCUGGAUCUCGUUGAGGCCCGCUCAGGUUCAGGUGCCAUUGGGGGGGUCUGGGAGUUCUCUCUCGGAGGCCGUAUGACGUUGGUAUUCCUCGGCUCCGCCCCAGGGUCCCUCCGAUGGCACAGCAGAGCUGCAGGAAGCCCGUGUUUGUGCAGAGCCGCAGGCUGGGGGCCCGUGGCGAACACAGGCCCUAGCACGGGUCUUCGUUUCGGAGCAGUGAGCCUGAGUGGCCAGUGAGCAAUCCGUCAUCAGUGGAGAUGGAUACCCAGGAAGUGCCAUCUCUCUCUGCUUGGCGGGUGACACGUUACUGUUACAAAUGCUGCCUGUCCCUGUCACAUCACCGGAGUUUUCACCUUGAUGCCCGGGCUCCCUGAGGCAUCACGUGUUUUUAAGUGUUUCCAUUUUAGAAACACGGAAAAGGGAUCCCAGAGCCGCUUUGUUUUCCUUCUUCACCGGAAACAAACGCCUCUGUGCUUCUGCCUCCUGCAGGCCCCCACUGCCUCCAGCCUGGGUGGGUGGUCGCCAGCUGGUCCCAUCCGGCCUUCGGCCUGUCCCCUCCACCUCUCUCAGCCACCUGGGAAAAUAGCUCUCAGCUCUGAGGGGCAUUGUCUGUCCCCAGAAGAAUGACUGCUCCUCGCCUCCCACCCCUAUCCUGUGUCCGCAUCACAGACCCAGCAGAACAGACCCCACCAGAGAGCCAGUGGCCUCAUUGGCCACAACUCGUGAUGCUAGAGGGCUGUGGGUAGCCUGGCAAGUGCCACAGAGCAUCGUGGAAAUCCUGGGAGGGCUCCUGGUGAGAAAGAGCCAUCACCCUAAGAAGAUUCAAGAGCAGGAAAAUCAUGGGGUUCAGGGUUCCCCAGCAGUGGAUUGAAAAAUCCCAGCUCUGGCCAGAAGGCAGGGAAGUAGCAACCUUAUUCAAGGGGGAAAAAAACGCUCCUGGAGUCUGGAUACAGUAUCUUAGUAGUAAUAAAAGCACUGGUACAGAUUUACUGGUGUAGGAGUUUUAACUGUAAUACUGUGGAAUGGUAGGUUAUUUUGUGUUCAAGAGCUACAUUUAUCACAAAAAUGAUGAUAUACAAAUCACUUCCAUAUCACAAAAUGUUCUUGGUCAAAAUUGGCUUGAGGCAAGUGAUAUCUUCGAGUAAACAGUAUAUGAAGACCAUAUCUUAAAAUGACAGAUCACCUAAUUUUGUUCUGACAGAGGUUUUUGCCGCAACAAACAUCUGUCAUUGAAAUACCAAUUCAGAGAUAUGGAAGCCAAAUUGUAGAGGUUUUCCCGGAUUUGUCACUCCUAACUUAAGAAUGCUACUGUUUCCAUCAUAGCUUUUAUAAGAUAUUAGGCAGUGUUGCACUUUAAGGGACAUUAAAAACAAAAUAAACAAUUCAGAGAAAUAUGCUUUAAAUGCAAACCAGUCAUUACAAGGUACAGAAACCAGGAAAGGGCUGAGACAGCCCGGCUUUCUGUGUGUCGACCUCACAUUCAGCUCACUUUAAUUGGAGGCUUGGAACCAGAGUCCUCCAGGCCUCCUGCCUUCACUUCAGGGUUCCACUGCUUUUUAAAGGACUGCGAUGAUGAUGCUAUUCCCAAGAUGUAAAGGACCAUUCUGGUGCUGUCCUGACAGGGGAGCAGGUUUACAGCUCAGGACAGUGGUGGUGCCAUGGGGGCCUGGGGCAGGACAUGGCGGUGCCACGGGGGUGUGGGGAGGACAGUGGCGGUGCCAUGGGGGCCUGGGGCAGGACAGCGGUGGUGCCACGGGGGCCUAGGGGGUCCCCUUGUGCCUGCAUUCCUCCCUGUUGGGAGCUCUCAAGAAGCCCUGCACAGGGACAAAUGUUCUGGUAUUUGAGAGGCAAGGACCAGUCAGACAUUUCCAAAGAGGACACCAAAGAGCUUCUGCUGUACUCUAUUCCAAGUUAAAAAAAAUGAUCUUGGUCCAAAACUUGAUUAUAUGAUAGUAAAAAAAAAAAGCCACCACACACACACAAUAGAGGUGCUUGGGAGACAUUUUAGAAAUAUAUCAUUGAUGACCAAUUCUUAUAGGCUGAAUUAAGAAAAAAAUGAUAAAAUCUCUUUUAAAGUCUUCAGUCUCUGGACCCCUCUGGGGUGAGUUCGUGGAGCUGCUCCCUUUGACAGCCCCUGUGGGCCUGGAGGGCUGGGGUUUCUGGGGUAGGAUAGUGGAGCUGGCCGUGGUCCUGGCUCUCCUGCCCACCCCAGCCCCUCGUUCCCGCCCCCUCCUGACUGCAGCCACCAGUGCCGGCCAGUUCUUCCAGAGCUGCAGCAGCUCUGGUGGUCCUGUCCUUAUUCUGUGGAUUGAAGUACAUUUCUGGAAUCCAGGUUUUCAAAACGGAAUACGCUGUUUCUUGCAUGAGAAUACAGGAGCAGCCUUUCAUGGGCCAUCUCGCACAUUGGGCUUUUGUAUUCUUUUAUGAUGGUGUGAGGCAAGCCUGGCUAAUGUCUUCCAGCCUGUUCGUGUCCGCAUAGGGUAUGCGAUGAUGGGCUUCAGCGUCAGGCCAUGGGGCCCACUCUCCAGCUCUGCCACUUAUGGGCUCUGGAAGGUUACCUCAGCUGUUGAACUUGUGAGCUGUGACUUCCUCCUCUGCUAAAGCGGGACUCUCAUGCCUGGCUCACAGGUUCAGAUGUGAUGAUAGACAUAAAACACCUGGCCGGACUCUGGCCCAUGGAUGCUGAAAUUGGUUUUCUGAGGUGGUGGUGGGGGCAGGGAGGUAGUGGCGAUGGAAAUAGUGAUAAUGGUACUUGGUGGUGUCAUCCUGUUUGCUGGGAGCCUGCAGGUGGCUCAGGCGAACCCAGCACAGCCUUGUCCUCGGGUCCACUGCCCUCUCAGGUUCACAUCGUAAUGAGUUCAUUUGUCAUCCACACUAAAGACUGGUCUUCCAGAAGAUAUUCCUAAAUCAGGGCCCCUUCCUCCUGGCAUGCUGGGACGGCCCCUGCUGUUGCCCAGCUUUGCCUGGUAUUACAGAGAACCUCAGCCUCCUGGGCUCUUCCCCAGGCCUGACUUGGGUGAUGCCCGGAGUCCCAGCAGUGAGGGAACCGUGAUUGUGGGCCAGUCCCUCAUAGCCCUGGCGGGUUGCAGACUCAUUAAAGAAACACUCUUUUGCCUCCUGGCCCUGUGCCCCAUACAUCAGGGAGGACACAGGAGGAACCGAAGAUUGAGCCUGGGGAGAGCUGUCUCUGCGGUGCCUCUUCAGACACACGGGUAUCCCUUUGUAGGACAUGUUCUCAACAAGCACACAUGGCCUUAUAGGUGUUGGGAUGAUGGGGGCGUGCCUGCAGGUUGUAAAUUUCUUUUUGCCUUCAGAGCCACCAACACAUUGGUUUUCCUUUUGAUUUCAUCAGGAGAAUUCUGUUUCCUUGGCCGCCUGCACAUGGCUUGCCCUCCAUACUUGAGUGUGGACUGACUCUGCAGCCUAAGC